rnacentral:misc_RNA from 1 species
GAUGAAGAACGCAGCGAAAUGCGAUAAGUAGUGUGAAUUGCAGAAUUCAGUUAAUCAUCGAAUCUUUGAACGCACAUUGCGCCCCUUGGUAUUCCAUGGGGCAUGCCUGUUCGAGCGUCAUUUGUACCUUCAAGCUUUGCUUGGUGUUGGGUGUUUGUCUCGCCUUUGCGUGUAGACUCGCCUUAAAAUAAUUGGCAGCCGGCGUAUUGAUUUCGGAGCGCAGUACAUCUCGCGCUUUGCACUCAUAACGACAGCGUCCAAAAGUACAUUUUACACUCUUGACCUCGGAUCAGGUAGGGAUACCCGCUGAACUUAAGCAUAUCAAUAAGCGAGGA